AUUGAACGCUGGCGGCAGGCCUAACACAUGCAAGUCGAGCGGUCGAGAGAAGCUUGCUUCUCUUGAGAGCGGCGGACGGGUGAGUAAUGCCUAGGAAGCUGCCUGAUAGAGGGGGAUAACUUUCGGAAAUGGACGCUGAUACCGCAUACGUCCUACGGGAGAAAGUGGGGGCUCUUCGGACCUCCAGCUAUCCGCUCAGCCUUGGUCGGAAUAGCUAGUUGGUGGGGUAAAGGCUCACCAAGGCGACGAUCCGUAACUGGUCUGAGAGGAUGAUCAGUCACACUGGAACUGAGACACUGUCCAGACUCCUACGGGAGGCAGCAGUGGGGAAUAUUGGACAAUGGUCGAAAGCCUGAUCCAGCCAUGCCGCGUGUGUGAGGAAGGUCUUCGGAUUGUAAAGCACUUUAAGUUGGGUGGAAGGGUCGUUACCUAAUACGUGGCGAUUUUGACGUUACCGACAGAAUAAGCACCGGCUAACUCUGUGCCAGCCGCCGCGGUAAUAC
rnacentral:rRNA from 1 species